CAAUGGGCGCAGCCUGAUGCAGCGACNCCGCGUGAGGGAUGGAGGCCUUNUUNCNANUAAACCUGGGGAAAANGGGGAGCAAGCGAGAGUGAGUUUANUCUCCUGAAUAAGCACNGGAUAANUACGUGCCAGCAGCCGCGGUAAUACGUAGGGUGCAAGCGUUAUCCGGAAUUAUUGGGCGUAAAGGGCUCGCAGGCGGUUCGUCGCGUCCGGUGUGAAAGUCCAUCGCUUAACGGUGGAUCUGCGCCGGGUACGGGCGGGCUGGAGUGCGGUAGGGGAGACUGGAAUUCCCGGUGUAACGGUGGAAUGUGUAGAUAUCGGGAAGAACACCGAUGGCGAAGGCAGGUCUCUGGGCCGUCACUGACGCUGAGGAGCGAAAGCGUGGGGAGCGAACAGGAUUAGAUACCCUGGUAGUCCAAGGGCGAAUUC
rnacentral:rRNA from 1 species